rnacentral:rRNA from 1 species
AUCCCCUAGUAACUGCGAGUGAAGCGGGAUGAGCUCAAAUUUAAAAUCUGGCGUCUUCGGCGUCCGAGUUUGUAAUUUAGAGAAGCGUUUUCCGCGCCGGACCGUGUACAAGUCUCCUGGAACGGAGCGUCAUAGAGGGUGAGAAUCCCGUCUUUGACACGGACCCCCGGUGCUCUGUGAUACGCUCUCGAAGAGUCGAGUUGUUUGGGAAUGCAGCUCAAAAUGGGUGGUGAACUCCAUCUAAAGCUAAAUAUUGGCGAGAGACCGAUAGCGAACAAGUACCGUGAGGGAAAGAUGAAAAGCACUUUGGAAAGAGAGUGAAACAGUACGUGAAAUUGUUGAAAGGGAAACGCUUGAAGUCAGUCGCGUCCGCCAGGAUUCAGCCUCACGGUGUACUUUCUGGUGGACGGGCCAGCAUCACUUUCAAUCAUCGGACAAGGUCGAGAGGAAUGUGGCACCUUCGGGUGUGUUAUAGCCUCUUGUCGUAUACGGUGACUGGGAGUGAGGACCGCCUUUGUAGGAUGCUGGCGUAAUGGCUUUAAACGACCCGUCUUGAAACACGGACCAAGGAGUCUAACAUGCCCGCGAGUGUUUGGGUGGAAAACCCAUGCGCGUAAUGAAAGUGAAAGUUGGGAAGGCUGUCGCGGCCUGCACCGACGCCCGGACUCGAGAUUUAUCUAAGGUUCUGCGGUAGAGCGUGUAUGUUGGGACCCGAAAGAUGGUGAACUAUGCCUGAAUAGGGUGAAGCCAGAGGAAACUCUGGUGGAGGCUCGUAGCGAUUCUGACGUGCAAAUCGAUCGUCAAAUUUGGGUAUAGGGGGCGAAAGACUAAUCGAACCAUCUAGUAGCUGGGUUCCUGCCGA